UAAGCUAAUAAGAGCGCAGGGUGGAUGCCUUGGCACUAAGAGCCGAUGAAAGACGUGAUAAGCUGCGAAAAGCUUCGGGGAGGAGCAAAUAUCCUUUGAUCCGGAGAUAUCUGAAUGGGGAAACCCAGCUGAGCAAACCUCAGUUGUCGUAUGGUGAAUCCAUAGCCAUACGUCGGGAACCCGGGGAACUGAAACAUCUAAGUACCCGGAGGAAAAGAAAGAAAACUCGAUUUCCAAAGUAGCGGCGAGCGAAAUGGAAGGAGCCUAAACCAGUAUGCGUGCAUACUGGGGUUAUGGACUGCAAUAAGUGAGACGAUUUGUUACCAGAACGGUCCUGGAAAGACCGGCCAUAGAAAGUGAAAGCCUUGUAUGGGAAAGCAAUAGUCAGCGAGCAGGAUCCAAAGUACCACGAGACACGAGAAACCUUGUGGGAAUUCGGGGGGACCACCCCCCAAGGCUAAAUACUACUUAGUGACCGAUAGCGCAUAGUACUGUGAAGGAAAGGUGAAAAGGACCCCGGGAGGGGAGUGAAAGAGAACCUGAAACCCUGUGUUUACAAGCUGUGGAACCACGUUAAAGGUGGAACCGCGUACUUUUUGUAGAACGGUCCGGCGAGUUACCGUUACUGGCAAGGUUAAGCACUUAAGGUGCGGAGCCGAAGGGAAACCAAGUCUUAAUAGGGCGUUAAGUCAGUAAAAGGUAGACCCGAAACCGGUGAUCUACCCAUGUCCAGGUUGAAGUUUCCGUAAAAGAAAUGGAGGACCGAACGCACAUCCGUUGAAAAGGGUGGCGAUGAGGUGUGGGGAGAAAUUCCAAUCGAACCCGGAGAUAGCUGGUUCUCCUCGAAAUAGCUUUUAGGGCUAGCCUCGUAUUAGUCUGCCGAGGUAGAGCACUGAAUUUCCUAGGGGGCGUCAAAGCUUACCAAAGAAUAUCAAACUCCGAAUGCCGGCCAGAUGAUGUACGGGAGUCAGACUGCACGAGAUAAGUUGGGUAGUCAAAAGGGAAAGAGCCCAGACCACCAGCUAAGGUCCCAAAGUGCGUGUUAAGUGGAAAAGGAUGUGGGAUUUCACAGACAACUAGGAUGUUGGCUUAGAAGCAGCCACACAUUCAAAGAGUGCGUAAUAGCUCACUAGUCGAGAGGUCCCUGCGCCGAAAAUGUCCGGGGGCUAAAACACGACACCGAAGCUGUGGAAUGUAUGUAAAUACAUUUGGUAGAGGAGCAUUCUUAACGCACAGAAGCAUUACCGUAAGGAGAUGUGGAGUGUUAAGAAGAGAGAAUGCC
rnacentral:rRNA from 1 species